GACGAACGCUGGCGGCGUGCUUAACACAUGCAAGUCGAACGGAAAGGCCCUGCUUUUGUGGGGUGCUCGAGUGGCGAACGGGUGAGUAACACGUGAGUAACCUGCCCUUGACUUUGGGAUAACUUCAGGAAACUGGGGCUAAUACCGGAUAGGAGCUCCUGCUGCAUGGUGGGGGUUGGAAAGUUUCGGCGGUUGGGGAUGGACUCGCGGCUUAUCAGCUUGUUGGUGGGGUAGUGGCUUACCAAGGCUUUGACGGGUAGCCGGCCUGAGAGGGUGACCGGCCACAUUGGGACUGAGAUACGGCCCAGACUCCUACGGGAGGCAGCAGUGGGGAAUAUUGCACAAUGGGCGGAAGCCUGAUGCAGCAACGCCGCGUGCGGGAUGACGGCCUUCGGGUUGUAAACCGCUUUCGCCUGUGACGAAGCGUGAGUGACGGUAAUGGGUAAAGAAGCACCGGCUAACUACGUGCCAGCAGCCGCGGUGAUACGUAGGGUGCGAGCGUUGUCCGGAUUUAUUGGGCGUAAAGGGCUCGUAGGUGGUUGAUCGCGUCGGAAGUGUAAUCUUGGGGCUUAACCCUGAGCGUGCUUUCGAUACGGGUUGACUUGAGGAAGGUAGGGGAGAAUGGAAUUCCUGGUGGAGCGGUGGAAUGCGCAGAUAUCAGGAGGAACACCAGUGGCGAAGGCGGUUCUCUGGGCCUUUCCUGACGCUGAGGAGCGAAAGCGUGGGGAGCGAACAGGCUUAGAUACCCUGGUAGUCCACGCUGUAAACGGUGGGUACUAGGUGUGGGGUCCAUUCCACGGGUUCCGUGCCGUAGCUAACGCUUUAAGUACCCCGCCUGGGGAGUACGGCCGUAAGGCUAAAACUCAAAGGAAUUGACGGGGCCCCGCACAAGCGGCGGAGCAUGCGGAUUAAUUCGAUGCAACGCGUAGAACCUUACCUGGGUUUGACAUGGAUCGGGAGUGCUCAGAGAUGGGUGUGCCUCUUUUGGGGUCGGUUCACAGGUGGUGCAUGGCUGUCGUCAGCUCGUGUCGUGAGAUGUUGGGUUAAGUCCCGCAACGAGCGCAACCCUUGUUCACUGUUGCCAGCACGUUAUGGUGGGGACUCAGUGGAGACCGCCGGGGUCAACUCGGAGGAAGGUGGGGAUGACGUCAAGUCAUCAUGCCCCUUAUGUCCAGGGCUUCACGCAUGCUACAAUGGCUGGUACAGAGAGUGGCGAGCCUGUGAGGGUGAGCGAAUCUCGGAAAGCCGGUCUCAGUUCGGAUUGGGGUCUGCAACUCGACCUCAUGAAGUCGGAGUCGCUAGUAAUCGCAGAUCAGCAACGCUGCGGUGAAUACGUUCCCGGG
rnacentral:rRNA from 1 species